rnacentral:rRNA from 1 species
UACGGAGGGUGCAAGCGUUAUCCGGAUUCACUGGGUUUAAAGGGUGCGUAGGUGGGCAAGUAAGUCAGUGGUGAAAUCUCCGGGCUUAACCCGGAAACUGCCAUUGAUACUAUUUGUCUUGAACACUGUGGAGGUCAGCGGAAUAUGUCAUGUAGCGGUGAAAUGCUUAGAUAUGACAUAGAACACCAAUUGCGAAGGCAGCUGGCUACACAAAUAUUGACACUGAGGCACGAAAGCGUGGGGAUCAAACAGG